GAUGAACGCUGGCGGCGUGCCUAACACAUGCAAGUCGAACGGAGAUUACGGACGGUUGCUUUUGGAUGGAUGCCUGCAAUUCUUAGUGUCGCACGGGUGAGUAACGCGUGUGCAACUUGCCCUAUACAGGGGGACAGCAGCUGGAAACGGCUGGUAAUACCGCACACGUCGGUUAAAUCGCAUGAACUGUCCUGGUAAUGAGCAAUCAGGUAUAGGAUGUGCCUGCGUUGGUUUAGCCAGUAGGCAGGGUAAAAGCCUACCAAAGCGACGAUCGGUAGCCGGGAUGGGAGGUCGGGCCGCGACAUUGGGGCUAGGACACGGCCGGGACUCCUACGGAAGGGAGGAGAGGGGGAUAUAGCACAGUGGAGGAAGCUAUGAAGGAGCGCCGACGGGAAAGUGAAGUUAUAUGUCAGGAAGUAAAGCUCAAUCAGCAGGGCAGAUGAUGACGGUACCUGACUAAGAAGCCCCGGCUAACUACGUG
rnacentral:rRNA from 1 species